rnacentral:rRNA from 1 species
UAGGGAAUCUUCCGCAAUGGACGCAAGUCUGACGGAGCAACGCCGCGUGAGUGAAGAAGGAUUUCGGUUCGUAAAACUCUGUUGUUAGAGAAGAACAGCGCAUAGAGUAACUGUUAUGCGUGUGACGGUAUCUAACCAGAAAGCCACGGCUAACUACGUGCCAGCAGCCGCGGUAAUACGUAGGUGGCAAGCGUUGUCCGGAUUUAUUGGGCGUAAAGCGAGCGCAGGCGGUCAAUUAAGUCUGAUGUGAAAGCCCCCGGCUCAACCGGGGAGGGUCAUUGGAAACUGGUUGGCUUGAGUGCAGAAGAGGAGGGUGGAAUUCCAUGUGUAGCGGUGAAAUGCGUAGAUAUAUGGAGGAACACCAGUGGCGAAGGCGACUCUCUGGUCUGUAACUGACGCUGAGGUUCGAAAGCGUGGGUAGCAAACAGG